rnacentral:misc_RNA from 1 species
ACGUAUCUACAGGCGGACGCCUCGCGCCCUGCUCCGGUCGAGAGGCCGUGCAGCGGGUGUCUGGUGCCCGUCGAACCUUCACAAACCCACUGUGCACCUUUGCGGUGGAGGCGACCGGGCGAGAGCUCGGCCGCUGAAGCCGCCUCACUAAACCCUGUAUUAAGAAUGUCACGCGUCCUUUGAGUCGCCCAUAAACAUAA